AAAACUCAUAAUAAUCUCCAAUAGGAAUAAUAGAUUUACUCCACUUGUAUUUGAUACUUAACCACUACUGGAAAAGAAAACUAUUAUUUUAUUGGCUCUAUAAGUUUUGUAUAUAUUCCCACCAGUUCGUUUUAACUUUUCUAAGUGGUGUUUUAAAAUUGUUUUAGUUUUAUUUUAAGUGAUAUUUUUAAAUUUCUAUAUAAAAAUAAAUUUAAUUUGAUAUUUAAGACCAUUUAUAUUCUGUCGUAUAAUUUUUCAUUAAUUGUAACUAUUGUUGUUUUUAGGUAAACAAAAUAAAUUGGAUAAAAAUUCGUAAUUUUUCAAUUGGAGUGUAAAACUUUAAAAGCUAAUUCAGGGAGUAUAUGCUUAUACCUUUAACUUUGUAUUUUCCUUACUAUAAUCAUUAGUGUGCCAAACAAAAGAAUAUUUUGAAAUUUUAUAAAAACCAAGUCUAAAAUAUCCGACUUUAGUAUACUGUUCAAAAACUUUACUAAUUCGUUUAAUUAAAACCGACAGUUUAUAUAUAAUUUUAAAAUUAGUUAUGUCAUAGAUCUGACUGGAUAUCCAAAAUGAAAGAGAUGGCGAUGGAUAACUUAAUUAAUCUUUAUUGAUUUGGCGUCGUCAAAUUAGGGAGAUUAGCCCGAUUGACAUAUGUGGCCGACAUACCAAUAUAAUAGCAUGUGUCGAUAAUAUAGCAAACUAUUAUUAUCAUCUGUGGUGUCGAAACAUAAUACGCUAAGCUUGGGCUGUUAAGUGUUGUUACUCGAGCCUUGAAAAAAAUUAAAUAGAUUAGCGCUAAAUGUACAAGAAAAUGAAAAGGUUACGAAACGAAUAUUUAAGUGGGCCUGAACUGGACAAUGCCCUCCAGUGCCUGAUUGAGUUAUCGUACUCUUAGGACAGGGACAAGUAUUGACUACAAAAACCCUGGGAAGAGCUGGGUCUUGAAUUCGGGUGAGCUUAUCCCUCUCCUCUUUGAUUAGUGUGAAUGUUAAGGAUAAUUUGGAUGAUGCUUUGAUCAAUGAUUCUCUCUACGUUGGAAAAUAAAAUGUGUAUAGAGUUCUCUCUCUUCACUGAUUAAACUAAGAAUGGUAAAACUUUGAUUUGAUUUGUAGGGGUGGUUUAGAGCUGUUCUGUGAUUCUCAAAAGAUCCAUAGAGUAAACGUUGAUUUGCCUCAUGGAGAAGAUGAUUUAACAAUGAAGCAUUUGCUUUCAUGGGUUCGUUCAAAUCUGAUCAAAGAGAGAUACUGUGAGACCUGGUGUUCUUGUGUUAGUGAAUGACUGUGAUUGGGAGCUAAGCGGUCAGCUCGAGACCACAAUCAAAGAGUAAGAU